ACGGAUCUAUGCAACAUGAAGUCUUAAGUUCCUACUUGAGCGGUCAGUAGUGUUGGUGGGUCCUU
rnacentral:sRNA from 24 species